rnacentral:rRNA from 1 species
UACGUAGGCAGCGAGCGUUGUCCGGAAUCAUUGGGCGUAAAGAGCGUGUAGGCGGCCCGAUAAGUCCGCUGUGAAAGUCCAGGGCUCAACCCUGGGAUGCCGGUGGAUACUGUCGGGCUCGAGUCCGGAAGAGGAGUGUGGAAUUCCUGGUGUAGCGGUGAAAUGCGCAGAUAUCAGGAGGAACACCAAUGGCGAAGGCGGGUCUCUGGGACGGUACUGACGCUGAGACGCGAAAGCGUGGGGAGCGAACAGG